rnacentral:rRNA from 1 species
GACGAACGCUGGCGGCGUGCUUAACACAUGCAAGUCGAACGGGAAGGCCCUUCGGGGUACACGAGUGGCCAACGGGGGAGCAACACGUGGGUGACCGGCCCUGCACUUCGGGAUAAGCCUGGGAAACCGGGUCUACUACCGGAUUGGAACACUGCUUGCAUGGGUGGUGGCGGAAAGUGAUUGCGGAGUCGGGUGGGCCCGCGGCCUAUCAGCGUGUUGGUGGGGUGAUGGCCGACAAAGGCGACGACGGGUAGGCGGCCUGAGGGGGUGACCGGCCACACUGGGACUGAGAUACGGCCCAGACUACUACGGGAGGCAGCAGUGGGGAAUAUUGCACAAUGGGCGCAAGCCUGAUGCAGCGACGCCGCGUGAGGGAUGACGGCCUUCGGGUUGUAAACCUCUUUCAGCUAUGACGAAGCGCAAGUGACGGUAGUAGCAGAAGAAGGACCGGCCAACUACGUGCCAGCCGCCGCGGUAA